rnacentral:rRNA from 1 species
UACGUAGGGUGCGAGCAUUGUCCGGAAUUAUUGGGCGCAAAGAGCUCGUAGGCGGCCUGUCACGUCGGAUGUGAAAGCCCGGGGCUUAACCCCGGGUCUGCAUUCGAUACGGGCAGGCUGGAGUUCGGUAGGGGAGAUCGGAAUUCCUGGUGUAGCGGUGAAAUGCGCAGAUAUCAGGAGGAACACCGGUGGCGAAGGCGGAUCUCUGGGCCGAUACUGACGCUGAGGAGCGAAAGCGUGGGGAGCGAACAGG